rnacentral:sRNA from 1 species
CGUUCGCAGCCCUGCUGGACUUUAUAGUUCCUUGAACCAAUGCUCUACGAGCACGGGCUUGGUACAUCACCUAUUGAGCGUGAUCGUCUCGCGUCAGAUGAACCCAACGAUAGGUUGCCCUUGCCCACCUGAACCCCCGGUUCAGGAUGACGGUCCAGUGGAUCCGCUGCGAACAC